UACAGAGGGUGCGAGCGUUAAUCGGACUUACUGGGCGUAAAGCGCACGUAGGUGGCGACGUAAGUCGGGUGUGAAAGCCCCGGGCUCAACCUGGGAAUUGCAUUCGGGACUGCAUUGCUGGAGUACGGAAGAGGAGGGCGGAAUUCCCGGUGUAGCGGUGAAAUGCGUAGAUAUCGGGAGGAACAUCAGUGGCGAAGGCGGCCCUCUGGUCCAGUACUGACACUCAAGUGCGAAAGCGUGGGGAGCAAAUAGG
rnacentral:rRNA from 1 species